UGAAGACAAAAUCAAAUUAGAGGAAAACGAUGCCAACAAAAUAGCUGAGCUCACAAUUGGACAGUCCGAGAAUGCUAAGUGGCUGUUGGCUCGGAAAAAUCGAUUAACGGCAAGCAAUUUUGCAGUUGUAUUGGCAGCCUGUAGUAGGCAGCGUUAUCCUCCCAGUCUUUUCAAACGUCUUUCAGGUGCAUAUAAUCUAGAAAAUAUAAAAGCCAUACAAUGGGGGAAGCUUCAUG